AUUGAACGCUGGCGGCAGGCCUAACACAUGCAAGUCGAGCGAGCGGCGGACGGGUGAGUAAUGCCUGGGAAUUGCCCAGUCGAGGGGGAUAACAGUUGGAAACGACUGCUAAUACCGCAUACGAUUGGAUUGCCCAGGUGGGGUUGGCUAGUUGGUGAGGUAAUGGCUCACCAAGGCGACGAUCCCUAGCUGGUCUGAGAGGAUGAACCGGCAAACUGGAAAUGGGACACGGGCCAGACUCCUACGGGAGGCAGCAAGGGGGAAUAUUGCACAAUUGGGGAAACCCUGAUGCAGCCAUGCCGCGUGUGUGAAGAAGGCCUUCGGGUUGUAAAGCACUUUCAGCGGGGAGGCGUUACUCGCAGGAGAAGCACCGGCUAACUCCGUGCCAGCAGCCGCGGUAAUUCC
rnacentral:rRNA from 1 species